AUGAGAUUCCCUAGCAAGAGCAGACUGGCAGAGCUCCACAAAUUUGGAAACUUCAACUUGCUGGGGACCAAUGCUGUGAUCAAUGUAGACAGUUGGACCUUUGACACUCAGGCUAUUGGCAAAUUACACACAGUGUGGGUACAGUUUGGGAAAAUUCCUGAGUGCUUUAGGCAUUUCUUUGGGAUGUGUGAGGUGGCUGCUUUUGUUGGUCCUGUUUUAGAAAUUGAUAUGACCACUAUCCUGAAAGAAAAAAUCAGGGCUAAAGUGGGAGUAAGAGACUAUGAAAAAAUCCCCCACCAUACUGAGAUUACUGACAAGGACCUGAUGAUCUACAGAUCAAUAUAG
rnacentral:rRNA from 1 species